CAGGCCUAACACAUGCAAGUCGAACGCUGAAGCCCCAGCUUGCUGGGGUGGAUGAGUGGCGAACGGGUGAGUAACACGUGAGUAACCUGCCCCUGACUUCGGGAUAAGCCCGGGAAACUGGGUCUAAUACCGGAUACGACCUGUCCUCGCAUGAGGGUGGGUGGAAAGUUUUUUCGGUUGGGGAUGGGCUCGCGGCCUAUCAGUUUGUUGGUGAGGUAAUGGCUCACCAAGACGACGACGGGUAGCCGGCCUGAGAGGGCGACCGGCCACACUGGGACUGAGACACGGCCCAGACUCCUACGGGAGGCAGCAGUGGGGAAUAUUGCACAAUGGGGGAAACCCUGAUGCAGCGACGCAGCGUGCGGGAUGACGGCCUUCGGGUUGUAAACCGCUUUCAGCAGGGAAGAAGCGAAAGUGACGGUACCUGCAGAAGAAGUACCGGCUAACUACGUGCCAGCAGCCGCGGUAAUACGCAGGGUACGAGCGUUGUCCGGAAUUAUUGGGCGUAAAGAGCUCGUAGGUGGUUGGUCACGUCUGCUGUGGAAACGCAACGCUUAACGUUGCGCGUGCAGUGGGUACGGGCUGACUAGAGUGCAGUAGGGGAGUCUGGAAUUCCUGGUGUAGCGGUGAAAUGCGCAGAUAUCAGGAGGAACACCGGUGGCGAAGGCGGGACUCUGGGCUGUAACUGACACUGAGGAGCGAAAGCAUGGGGGAGCGAACAGGAUUAGAUACCCUGGUAGUCCAUGCCGU
rnacentral:rRNA from 1 species